rnacentral:rRNA from 1 species
CGGGAAACCGGAGCUAAUACCGGAUAAUAUUCGAACCGCAUGGUUCGAUAGUGAAAGAUGGUUUUGCUAUCACUUAUAGAUGGACCCGCGCCGUAUUAGCUAGUUGGUAAGGUAACGGCUUACCAAGGCGACGAUACGUAGCCGACCUGAGAGGGUGAUCGGCCACACUGGAACUGAGACACGGUCCAUACUCCUACGGGAGGCAGCAGGC